rnacentral:rRNA from 1 species
AAAAGUAUCCAUACCAGACUGCAUGCAUCUGAUCUUGGGAGCUAAGCAGGGAUGGCCCUGCCUAGUAAUUUGAUGGUGACCGCCCUGGAAUCCCAGGUGCUGUUGAUA